GACGUAGGAGGCGAGCGUUAUCCGGAUUCACUGGGCGUAAAGCGCAUGUAGGCGGCUGGACAAGUCGUGUGUUAAAGCCCCUGGCUCAACUGGGGGAGGUCAUGCGAGACUGUUCGGCUUGAGGGCAACAGAGGCACGUGGGAGCUCCCGGUGUAGCGGUGGAAUGCGUAGAGAUCGGAAGACACCAGUGGCGAAGGCGACGUGCUGGGUUGCAACUGACGCUGAGAUGCGAAAGUGUGGGGAGCAAACGGG
rnacentral:rRNA from 1 species